CGACCUCCUAACUUGUUCGUUGGAGGAGACAAAAAUACAGCAUGCAGCAAAAUAAGGUUCUCCAAGACAACGAUGUCAAAGAACUACUUUAGAUAUUCUUAAAAUCGACUUAUAAAAGUUGAACAAAUUUCACUUCUUGUACAAGUUUCUUUCAAUGGAUUCAUGGAUAGGUUGGGUAUGGGGCAAAACAACCGUUUGGAGGCGAGCUAAAUGGAGAAGGCGGAUCUCCUCUCUCCAUGGGUUGGGAUCCACCACAUAAAAAAAUUUCCCAAAGAAAAGUCAAGCAAAACUUCGUAUGAGGAACCCCCUGGUGAUGACGAAGAUGAGUGUUCGAUUUAAGAUGAUAGGGAUUUAUUUUUCAACAUAUCGCUGGCUUGCUCCGACGGAAGAGACGAUGUGGCCAAAGAUGAUGCACCUCCAGCCUCGAUGUCAAAAUUAUGUACGUCUAUUCCAGCAGUACCAGACUCCAUCACAGGAAAAUUCAUUAAGUCAAGCUGUCUCCUGAUCCAAAAAUUCACAACAAAAUCGAACAUGUUGUGAUAAAUUCAAUACAAAUUUCCAGUCUUCGCAUGUCGAGCAUUCGUUUCGAAUACCAAAUAUUGGCGCGUCAACAAGCGCAAGGAAGAAUCGACGUUUAAUAUUAUAUAUGAUAUAUUUUGUAGCUUUCUCCUUUAAACGCAAACAGUUCUAAUAAACGAUGGACAACAUCGUCUUUUUCAGGUAGUGGACAGUCAGACUAACAUAGGACGUUUUUAUGAAAUUAUCUGUUCAAAUAUUGGCUGAAAUUAAAUUACCUUGGUGGUGAAAGUGAGUGAAAUCGGUUUGGACUUGUGCCGAAUAUAUGGAUCAAAUUUCAUCAAUAAAUUGCGAGAGAAUGAAAUGUUCGGUUGCAUCCGAACAUAGCCAUUUCUUACGUGUUAUACCCUGAACAGACAGGGUAUAUUAAGUUUGUCACGAUGUUUGUAACACCCAGAAGGAAGCGUCGGAGACCCUAUGUAUGUAUUUGAUUGGCGUUGCAACCGUUUAGCCGGUUAUAGCCGAAUCGACGAUAGUGCGCCACCUCUCUCUCUCCUUCGCAGUUCGGCGCCAGUUGGAGAUCCCAAGUGUAACCAGGUCGCUCUCCACCGGAGACCCUAUAAAGUACAUAUAUAAAUGAUCAGUAUGUUGAGCUGAGUCGAUUUAGCCAUGUCCGUCUGUCUGUCCGUCUGUAUAUAUACGAACUAGUCCUUCAGUUUUUAAGACAUCGUUUUGAAAUUUUGCAGAUGUUAUUUUCUCUUCAAUAAGCUGCUCAUUUGUCGGAACUGUCGAUAUCGGACCACUAUAUCAUAUAGCUGCCAUACAAACUGAACGAUCGGAAUCAAGGGCUUGAAUGGAAAACUUCCGCAUUUUACUACAUAUCUUCACGAAAUUUGACAUGGAUUACUGCUUAAGGCUGCAACAAUGCUGGAACAUUAACGUGAGAUUCAUCUAUCGCGACGGUUGAUACGAUAAAUUCCGAGAACUUCAACACACUCGUAUCUUCAACCAUUUGAAAGAGGCAGCAAUUUAAAAUCAUUCAUCUAACAUCAUUACUAAUCAACUCAUCAAGAAUUUUGUGUUGAGUGAUUGUAGAACGUUUGCUAAACCGAAUCACAGUCACACAGUCGGUAAUUUUAAGUGUAAUAAGAACAUUAAAUUAUAAAUUUUUAAUUGUUUUUAUUUUCUGUUCCUUUGCAUUUAUUUAAAAUACUUCAAUUGUAAUUGCAACAUUUUUAAUUUUCUUCUAGUUAAAAAUACUUAUAUAGUACAUAAAUAUUAUUAAAAUAUUUUCAUUCCUUUUGUAAUAAAAACGAUUUAAGGCACUUUGAUUCUGUGGAAGUGGUUGUGGUCUCAACAAAAAUAAAAGCCAAAUUUGGAACAGAAGAAACUACCAAUGCGUGAAAAAAGUAACAAAACAGCAAAAAUAUUUGUAUAAUAAACAAUUCACUUUAAUUCAAAAAAAAUAUUAUGUGACAAUUGACAAGAAAGUUGAUAACAUAAUAAUUGUAAUAAUAUUAAUAAUAAUAAUACGAGUAAAUUAAAAAUAAUAUUUGAGGCAUCAAACGUAAAACUAAUUUGAGUUAAUUAAAGAAAUGUGUUAAAAUGAAAUUUGUUAAAUUAGUGAAACAUGCAUUAGAGUCCAUUAGUUUAGAAGUAGUUCAAGUAAAAUACUGGAUAAUUAUACAUAAAACAUUACAAUUUGUAGACGCAUAACAGUUGCGCGCAUAUGAUAUGGACAAUAAGAAUAUAAACACGUUAACGACUAGACUUAAACUUACGAGUAUGACUAAAUUUUACACAUCUUAAAA